rnacentral:rRNA from 1 species
GAUGAACGCUAGCGGCAGGCUUAACACAUGCAAGUCGAGGGGCAACACGGGUAGCAAUACCUGGUGGCGACCGGCGCAAGGGUGCGUAACGCGUGAGCAACAUGCCCUAUACAGGGGGAUAAUCCAGGGAAACUUGGUCUAAUAUCCCAUAGUAUUUAGAGGUGGCAUCACCACUAAAUUAAAGCUUCGGUGGUAUAGGAUUGGCUCGCGUGACAUUAGCUGGAUGGUGGGGUAACGGCUCACCAUGGCGAUGAUGUCUAGGGGUUCUGAGAGGAAGACCCCCCACACUGGGACUGAGACACGGCCCAGACUCCUACGGGAGGCAGCAGUGAGGAAUAUUGGACAAUGGAUGGAAAUCUGAUCCAGCCAUGCUGCGUGCAGGAAGACGGCCCUAUGGGUUGUAAACUGCUUUUAUAUGGGAGCAAUAAGGUUUACGCGUAGACCGAUGAGAGUACCAUAUGAAUAAGCAUCGGCUAACUCCG